UUUGCCCAAAUCUUGUUUUUUUUUUAUUAAUUUCUAUUAGGGCUUUAUUUUCCUAUCCGAUUUGCUUUUUGUAAUUAGAGAGUUUGUGUGAGGUAUACGAGUUUAGGGCAAAACUUGGAGUUAUUUGCCGACGAUAAUGGUGGUCUUUUACCAUGUAUUUACUGCUCUUAAAGGUUGAAUCUCUGGGAACAAGUAGAACACGCAUUAUGAUUGAUUAUAGAGAGAGCAUUGCUAGCCGAAUGAUAUGAUUUAUCCCUUGAUAGAGAAAUAUGCUCACAUCAGGUUAAACUACCCAAAAUUUUCUUGCUAUGGUUGCAGAUGACUAAAGCCUCUCCUUCAUUACUUAAAUUGGUAAUGGCAAUGAACUAUAUAUCUUGAUACCUUUUUUAAUUCAUUCGAUCUCUCAACAGACUGUUACCUAUAUAUUUAUGUUUAUCUUUCUUGAAACAAUCAGUGUUGAGUGUGCCUAUAUUGUGUUUACUUUUAUUUAUUUCAUUAUAAGUUGCAGUUAUCCACAUGCUUCAAUUGAUUCUAACAUGCUAGUAGAAAGAGUUCUUUUAUAAUGUAUGUUGUCUUUAUUUUUCU